UGUGGUUUCUUGGGAGAAGAGGAUUGCCGCAGUUUAGGAAACGCUCGAGGUCACACGUGGAAUAGCCCCAGGCCCAGCCCACUGUGAGUUUUCAUCGCACAACUUGGUGUUUUUUUUUUUUGGUUUCUAUUUGUUUAGCUUUCCCUUCUUGAUAAACAUAAUGUGUCCAUCCCCAUGCCUGUCAAUGCCCCGGCCGCCCUGUGACACACACGGGGCACCCCCCUCCGUGCCGCUGCCCCCCAACUUCUCCCCUCCGCUCACCUUCUUCAUCCUCUGCUGGCAACCGGCCCUUCACCUUGCCACGUGUCCUCUCAUUCCCAUCUUUACCUCCGGUGGCUAUUUAUUCGCCUUUUUCUUCACAGCAAAGAAAUUUUGAAGAAGAAAACACAAAUAAUCCACAAGCCUAUAAUCCAGGACAAACAUUGCCACUUGGGCCUCCUCUUUGGGCCUCAUGGGAACUGCUGUGGGCUUCCUUUGUCCUGCUGUUCCCUUGGCCUGGAAUGCUUUUCCCUCCAUCUGAUGCACAAGCCACAGUGAGCAUAAGAGUAUGAAGAUUAGUUUCCCUGGUGCCAGCAUUAUCUUCAGCCCCUCCCUGCUCACGUCUAUGACCACCGCCGCAGAUGGUGUACAUCUGGGCCGAAGUUUAUUUCCAGUGUCAACAUGCUGUGCUUUACGAGAGGAUGUGGCUGCACGUCCAGGGUCCUCAGAAGUGGCAGGCAGAGAGCAGUCCCUCUGGGGAAAGAAGAAACACAGAGCUGAAACAGCCAGGAAAGAAGUAAAAUCAGCUUCUCCGUAACGGGAUGUGGAACAUCGGGCGAGCCCCUCACUCAGCUUCCUUCUCUGAAGGGGAGGUGUCUUUGCAGCUGCGAUGAAGAACCAUCUCUCCACGGAGGCUCACAGGCAAGUCAAGGCCGCUGAAGGCCAAGCAGACGUCAAAUGCAGGAUAAUUUAGGGAACGUGGCCUCAUGCGGAUGAAGCCCACCCACAUUAACAACGAGAAAGCCCAUUCCAGUUCAGGGAGAUGGAGUCUUGUUCCCUAACACCUACCUCCUCCUCUGUGUUUUCUUGACAGUGCGGUUCAGAGGCAGGGAGUCGGGAAAAUGAAAAGAGGAAGAUAGGACACAGAGACCACAUUUGC